CGAACGCUGGCGGCGUGCUUAACACAUGCAAGUCGAACGCGAAAGGGGACUUCGGUCCUGAGUAAAGUGGCGCACGGGUGAGUAACGCGUAGAUAACCUGUCUUCAUGUCUGGAAUAAUACGCCGAAAGGGGUACUAAUACCGGAUAUUCUUGCUUUUCAUAAGUUAUGCAAGCAAAGGUGGCCUCUGCAUAUGCUACUGCAUGAAGAGGGGUCUGCGUACCAUUAGCUAGUAGGUGGGGUAAUGGCCUACCUAGGCGACGAUGGUUAGCGGGUCUGAGAGGAUGAUCCGCCACACUGGCACUGGAACACGGGCCAGACUCCUACGGGAGGCAGCAGUGAGGAAUAUUGCGCAAUGGGGGAAACCCUGACGCAGCGACGCCGCGUGAGUGAGGAAGGCCUUCGGGUCGUAAAGCUCUGUCAAGAGGAAAGAAGUGUACAAUGGCUAAUACCUGUUGUAUUUGACGGUACCUCUAAAGGAAGCACCGGCUAACUCCGUGCCAGCAGCAGC
rnacentral:rRNA from 1 species